GCCACAGACGACCCCCCGCCGGUGGCCAUGCGCUCCGCCACCUCUGGGAGAGGAAGAGACCGCGGCCGUAAACUCGCAAGAUUUCUUUACGUUCAGCACUAGCUGGGGUGUUUUUGCUGUCAAAAAAAGCUGGGAUAGAUAUGGAGAAUGGGGUGUGGUGAUCAGAAACAAGGAUGGAGAUGUCGUUACAGACGGUGCUGGACAUGUUGAUAAUAUCGGUGAGACCUUUGCUGCAGAGCUUGCAGGUGUUGAAGAGGCAAUUGAUAUGUCCACCUACGUUGGGAUUCACAAGCUGACCAUUGAAACUGAUCCGAAGUUGCUCUGCAAGACGAUGAACGAGAAGAAAAGGAACAGUUCGAGGUGAGUGGCAGCAAGCAUUUGAACAGCCAAUGUUUCAGCUCCAGUCGAACUUCUAUGAGUUUAAUGUAUCUCGAUGUGACAAGGAGUUAAAAUGGUGCUGCACAUAGCUUAGCAUAUUUUGGGUUGCCGUGUGAAGCAGAUAUGCUGAUGUACUCAGAGUGUGAAUUCCGCAGUGCAUUACGAAGAUUGUAAGGGGGGAGUUAGCCCCAAAUGUUAUGGUAUACAGCUUAAUGCUUUCCUCUUAAUAAAAAAAGAAAGAAAUGAAAUGUUCUUCCUA